UGGUUGAUUCUGCCAGUAGUCAUAUGCUUGUCUCAAAGAUUAAGCCAUGCAUGUCUAAGUAUAAGCAAUCAUACUGUGAAACUGCGAAUGGCUCAUUAAAUCAGUUAUCGUUUAUUUGAUAGUACCUUUACCUGGAUAACCGUGGUAAUUCUAGAGCUAAUACAUGCUAAAAACCCCGACUUCGGAAGGGGUGUAUUUAUUAGAUAAAAAACCAAUGCCCUCUGGGCUCUUUGGUGAUUCAUAAUAACUUAACGAAUCGCAUGGCCUUGCGCCGGCGAUGGUUCAUUCAAAUUUCUGCCCUAUCAACUUUCGAUUGUAAGAUAGAGGCUUACAAUGGUAUUAACGGGUAACGGGGAAUUAGGGUUCUAUUCCGGAGAGGGAGCCUGAGAAACGGCUACCACAUCCAAGGAAGGCAGCAGGCGCGCAAAUUACCCAAUGCUAAUUCAGCGAGGUAGUGACAAUAAAUACUGAUACGGGGCUCUUUCGGGUCUCGUAAUUGGAAUGAGUACAAUCUAAAUCCCUUAACGAGGAACAAUUGGAGGGCAAGUCUGGUGCCAGCAGCCGCGGUAAUUCCAGCUCCAAUAGCGUAUAUUAAAGUUGUUGCCGUUAAAAAGCUCGUAGUUGAACCUUGGACCUGGCUGAUCUGUCCUCCUAAUCGAGCGCACGGAUUCGGUCGGGUCUUUCCUUCUGGGGAGCCCUAUGCCCUUCACUGGGUGUAGUGGGGAACCAGGACUUUUACCUUGAAAAAAUUAGAGUGUUCAAAGCAGGCCUUUGCUCGAAUACAUUAGCAUGGAAUAAUAGAAUAGGACAUCGGUUCUAUUUUGUUGGUUUCUAGGACCGCUGUAAUGAUUAAUAGGGAUAGUCGGGGGCGUCAGUAUUCAAUCGUCAGAGGUGAAAUUCUUGGAUUUAUUGAAGACUAACUACUGCGAAAGCAUUCGCCAAGGAUGUUUUCAUUAAUCAGUGAACGAAAGUUAGGGGAUCGAAGACGAUCAGAUACCGUCGUAGUCUUAACCAUAAACUAUGCCGACUAGGGAUCGGACGGUGGUUUUUUUAUGCCCCGUUCGGCACCUUACGAGAAAUCAAAGUUUUUGGGCUCGGGGGGGAGUAUGGUCGCAAGGCUGAAACUUAAAGAAAUUGACGGAAGGGCACCACCAGGCGUGGAGCCUGCGGCUUAAUUUGACCCAACACGGGGAAACUCACCCGGCCCGGACACCGUAAG
rnacentral:rRNA from 1 species